GACGAACGCUGGCGGCGUGCUUAACACAUGCAAGUCGAGCGGUAAGGCCUUUCGGGGUACACGAGCGGCGAACGGGUGAGUAACACGUGGGUGAUCUGCCCUGCACUUCGGGAUAAGCCUGGGAAACUGGGUCUAAUACCGGAUAUGACCUCCUAUCGCAUGGUGGGUGGUGGAAAGAUUUAUCGGUGCAGGAUGGGCCCGCGGCCUAUCAGCUUGUUGGUGGGGUAAUGGCCUACCAAGGCGACGACGGGUAGCCGACCUGAGAGGGUGACCGGCCACACUGGGACUGAGACACGGCCCAGACUCCUACGGGAGGCAGCAGUGGGGAAUAUUGCACAAUGGGCGAAAGCCUGAUGCAGCGACGCCGCGUGAGGGAUGACGGCCUCGGUUGUAA
rnacentral:rRNA from 1 species